UACGUAGGGUGCGAGCGUUGUCCGGAAUUAUUGGGCGUAAAGAGCUCGUAGGCGGUGUGUCGCGUCGGCCGUGAAAACCUGGGGCUUAACUCUGGGCGUGCGGUCGAUACGGGCAUCACUAGAGUUCGGCAGGGGAGACUGGAAUUCCUGGUGUAGCGGUGGAAUGCGCAGAUAUCAGGAGGAACACCGAUGGCGAAGGCAGGUCACUGGGCCGCAACUGACGCUGAGGAGCGAAAGCAUGGGGAGCGAACAGGA
rnacentral:rRNA from 1 species